AAAGGCAAAAGUUGAUGCUUUUCUUCAUAUCUUAAUAGUAACCGUUCUGAAAUGAAGAUUGCUUAUGAUACACUGCAUCAAGAUCAGAGCAUUCUUCAUAGAACGAUGACCUGAUCACGCAAUGAUGUAUCCAAACCUUAUGAGGUCAGUCAUCAAUCUAAGAAGAAAUUAAGAUGGGACAUAUAAGCUCUUGAACAAAUCAACCCAGAGUUCUCAC